AGUUCUUGCGCGCCGGAAGCGGAAGCGCCGAGUCUCCAUGGCGGCGGCGACGGCGGCGGCGGCGGGGCCGGUGCUCUGGAGGCGGCUGCUGGGCCUGCUGCCUGGCCGCCCCGGGCUGGCCGCGCUCCUGGGGCGCCUGUCCGACCGCCUGGGCAGGAACCGGGACCGCCGGCGCAGGAGGUCGCCAUGGCUGCUCUUGGCUCCUUUGCUGUCUCCAGCUGUCCCCCAGGUCACCUCCCCACCUUGCUGCCUGUGUCCAGAGGGUGUGCACAGGUUCCAGUGGAUCCGAAACCUGGUCCCAGAGUUUGGGGUCUCCAGUUCCCACGUCAGGGUGCUUUCAUCCCCGGCCGAGUUUUUCGAGCUCAUGAAGAGUCAGAUCAACGUGGCCAAGAGACGCGUGGUGAUGGCGUCCCUCUACCUGGGGACAGGUCCUCUGGAACAGGAACUGGUAGAUUGUCUGGAACACACUCUGGAAAAGUCACUCCAAGCCAAGUUUCCUUCAGACCUCAAGGUGUCCAUCCUCUUGGACUUCACGCGGGGCUCAAGAGGUAGAAAGAACUCCCGCACCAUGCUGCUCCCGCUGCUGCAGAAGUUUCCAGAACAGGUUCGCGUCUCUCUCUUCCACACGCCUAACCUGCGCGGGCUUCUCCGGCUCCUGAUCCCUGAGCGCUUCAACGAGACGAUCGGCCUGCAGCACAUUAAAGUGUACCUCUUUGACAACAAUGUCAUCCUGAGCGGCGCAAACCUGAGCGACUCGUACUUCACCAACCGCCAGGACCGCUACGUGCUCUUGCAGGACUGCCCCGAGGUCGCGGACUUCUUCACGGAGCUGGUGGGCGCAGUGGGGGACGUGUCCCUGCAGCUGCAGGCCGACAACACGGUGCAGGUGUUGGAGGGGAUGGUGCAUCCUUACAAAGGUGACCGGGCUGCAUACUGCAGAGCGGCCAACAAGAGGGUGAUGGAUGUGAUCAACUCCGCCAGGGUCCGCCAGCAAGUGCUGCACGCCCAGACCUUCCACGGCGACUCCCUCUUGACUCAGGAGGACGCAGCCGCCGCCGGGGACCGGAGGCCAGCCCCCGACACCUGGAUUUACCCACUGAUCCAGAUGAAGCCCUUUGAGAUCCAGAUCGACGAGAUCGUCACCGAGACCUUGCUGACAGAGGCUGAGCGAGGCGCCAGGGUCUACCUCACCACCGGCUACUUCAACCUGACCCAGGCCUACAUGGACCUGGUCUUGGGCACGCGGGCUGAGUACCAGAUCCUGCUGGCCUCUCCGGAGGUGAACGGCUUCUUCGGGGCCAAGGGGGUGGCGGGGGCCAUCCCGGCCGCGUACGUGCACAUCGAGCGGCAGUUCUUCCGUGAGCUGUGCAGCCUGGGCCAGCAGGAGCGCGUCCGGCUGCAGGAGUACUGGCGGAGGGGCUGGACGUUCCACGCCAAAGGCCUCUGGCUGUACCUGGCAGGGAGCGGCCUGCCCUGUCUCACGUUGAUUGGCUCUCCUAAUUUUGGGUACAGGUCGGUUCACCGGGACCUGGAGGCCCAGAUCGCCAUAGUGACGGAGAGCCGGGCCCUGCAGCAGCAGCUUCACCAGGAGCAGGAGCAGCUCUACCUGCGCUCAGGUGUGGUGUCCUCCGCCACCUUUGAGCAGCCCAGUCGGCAGGUGAAGCUGUGGGUGAAGAUGGUGACUCCGCUGAUUAAGAACUUCUUCUGAGGACAGACAGGGAUGGAGGCUGCUGCUUGGCGCCCGGAGCCACUGACUGUGGCCCCCAAAAGGGGACGCGAGCAAGGUUCCCAUCACAUGUGCGGAUUUAGAGAGGAAUGUACUACUAGCCGUCCGACACGGUGCGGCGGUUUCCCGCCUCGUUUCCCUCCCGAGCAGCCGCUUUGACUCUCCCCUGUUUCUGCUGACGUUUACGUGCCGCUCUGUAUCUCUGGACAGUGUGCGUGUCUGGCCGCCCCCCAGAUCUGAAGUCUCACAGACGCCCCAGCCCAAACGCUGUACCAGCCUUCCGGCUGAAGUGUCAGCCAGCAGAAACCCCGACCACCUGCACGGUGUCAGUCGCCUGAUAUUUUUUUAUUACAGUUUUUCCAUGUGUUGGACUUGAGGUUCCGGGCAAGGUCCAGACCUUGUGUGGGACGGUGACGCGUCACCUAAGUCUCUUUUUGUCUGUGGGCUCCCCUCAUUUUUCUUUUUUCUUUGCAAUUUUUUUGUGGAAGAGUGAGCCUUAUUUUUACUGCAUCUGCCUAAAACACGGUGUGGGUCAUCAUCUCACAGCUCAGCAUCUUCAGAACACGUAGCGUGUAGAUUCGUCUCAGGCCUGGCUUUCUGCCUGCCCCAACUGCCCUGUGUCUCCAGGAGCAGAUUUCAAAACCUUGCUGCCUAAUCUCUGCAUCUCCAGGUGCUUGAACCUUGCACAGAGAAAGACCUUCCUGAGAGAAGGCCUUUGGGGCCCCCGGCUGUGGCAGCUCUUCCUUGGGCGGGGGCAGUAGCUUUCCACCCUGCCCGAGGGCUGGCGAGGGCUGGCGGCUGCUGGUGGUCCCCUUGGGGGGCUCUGGAAGUGGGGGUUGGCCUGUCCGCACAGCCUGGCUGUGCCUGGGGUGCUCCAGUGUUAGAAGCACCUUGUCAGUGCAUCUGCAGCCACCCCCACCCCCAGUGGGCCAGCGGAUCUGCAGGCUCUCGUGGUUGGGAACCGGGAGCAGGGGGGUGGCGGUGGCUGUGGCUCUGCUGUUCUGGGGCAGCGGUACGUCACUUAACAUGUUUGCUUUCGAACUAGUUAUUAAAUUGUCCUGUGGGACAAGUAGACUAGAGAAGCCAAAAGAAUGAGCCAGGGGCACUGGGUUUCUGUUUGGAGAGAGGCUUUCGGUAAACAGCGUUCACAUCCUGCAGAUUCUUUUGGACUGGAGUCAGCAUCGUGCCACAGCCCGGCUUGAGCAAUCGGGGCCUCUGCCCUCCAUGCUCGGCUGCUCCCUUGGUCUCUGCGGACCGUCUCCGGACCCCCCAGAGGCAGGGGCUCCAGGGCCCAUAGCACCUAGAGAGGCACAGUCCCUGGGUCCCUGUCACUGGAUUGCAACCCAAAGGAAUGGCCUUGAUGAAGAUGACGGGCAUGGCCGGCGUCAGCUCCUUCAGCCUGGCUUCGGCGAUGACUCCGGUCUGGGUGUCCCAGCGAGCUCCUGCAGGACAGCACCGUGAGCUCAGGGUGGCCCGUGAGGCCGUGCCUGGGUGCUGAGUGGCAUGCUGGCCAUGAGCUGGGGUGCUGGGGACGCUGGGGGCUGGGCCAGCGCAGGCACGGCUGGACGUGUGGCUGUGAGCACAGAACCCGGCAGAGUGUUGGGCCCUUGGGGACUGCGGGGACCCCGCCACGUGCCUCUGAGGGAUGGCACCGCCUCAAGCUCUCGGGGCCACCCGUUCACGUAUGUGGUGUUUUCGGAACCUGCCGGUCAGCCUUGUCAGCCUCAGAGGCAGGAAGUGGUGGCUCCAGCUGGAAGUCCCCGGAGGCCACAUGCACAUCGCUCUGUCUGCGUGUGCACGCGCAGGCACCGAUCUAGUGCACGCGCAACUUUGACUUGCCUUUAACCAAACUGCUAUCAUUUCUACUCAGCCUGUUAAUGGUGUUUGUGUUUCCUGUCUGUCAUUCCAAAAUAAACAUGGAGAGCGGCC